AACCGUCUAGCUCAGUUGGUAAAGCCCCAGACUCUAAAUCUAGAUAGUCGUGGGUUCGACCCCCACAUCGGGUC
rnacentral:tRNA from 1 species